rnacentral:misc_RNA from 1 species
GAAUUAGCGGGGUCCUCUUUGCCGAUCCUCGACAUGUGAUAAGAUGUUUCCAUGUCUUGGUUUAUGGCUCUGUUGCCUUUGGGACCCGCUUCUAGCCGUCUCACCGAGACAAUGUCCGAGCGUGUCUCCCUUCUCGGGAAACCCUCUCAGACCCACGAACCCUUGACCUCAAAUCGGGUGAGACUACCCGCUGAACUUAA